ACUUACCUAUGCAUAUAAUAUUAUCCCCCUGGGAGAAUCUAAGUACGAUAUUGAAGAAUGCGCAAGAAAAUUAAUAAAAUACAGCUAUAAUAUAGGGCUAGUAGUAAACGAAAACAAGACAAAAUUUAUGGUGAUGACUAGAAAGGUAGUGGUGAAAGGUAUUUUCUGCGUCAAAGAGAUUUCUUUUGAACAGGUAUGGGACUUCAAGUAAUUGGAAGCUAAACCUAAACAAAAAAACAAUACGUGUAGUAAAAUUAGGAUGAUAUUGAAUGCAACAAACAGAUGAACGAUAUUUCUUAGUCAAAAAGAGGUUUGAAUGGGCAGGACAUCUCUGGUGAGAAAAUACUUGCUCAUUAAGGAAUUCACAAGAAACUAGCUAAUAGUGAAUAGACUUAGAGGCAGGCCUCGGCAGAGAUGGUACAAUAUGGUAGAAAAAUACCUAAAGAAACAUGAAAGCGACACUGUAUAGAAAUAUAUGAAAGAGCGUGUUAGAAGAAGCGAUGGUCCCAUUUGGACUGAUAUAAGCGUAGUAAGAAGAAAAAAAACGAUAAGUGGUUAUCAACGGGAUUCGGUUAAAGAGGUACAGGCACGUUUUUAAGGGAUAUAAUGGAAGUAAUAAUAUUACUUCCAAAUCCCGUAUCAUAGUUUAACUUCUUAUUGUCGUCAUAUACGAAAAAUAAUUUUGAAUGGAGUUCAGUGGAAGUCUAUAACGAUACAGUGGUGGUGUAAAUCACGAUACAACAUUCGAUUAUUUUUACCACUAAAUAUCAGGGUCAACCCUGAUCAAAUUGUUGAGCAUUUUUAUAGACCGAAAAAUUUGUAUCUAGAUAACUUAGAUAUACGGGUCUGACACUAUAAAGUUAAAUAACUCAAAUAUUCUAGCCAUGUUUGUUUUCUAUACUCAGUUCGGGAUCGAGAAAAAUCGUUGAAAUGAAAUACCGCUAGGUGAAAAAUUCGAACUAUAAAGGUAUACGGGGACAUGAAUAAGAUGGAGUGUUUUGAUCAUCCGAAAAAAAAGAUGUCUGGAAAAAAAG